AAACAAUUCCAAAACCUGGAUCUUUUCCGUUUGGCUGCCAAGAUUUCAAAAAUCAGAGUUUAUUGAAAAUUUUAAGAUUUGGUUCAUUAAUGUAGUUUUCCAAGCUGAAUCGGUGGAGAUAUUUCAUUUUUUCCAGAAAAACUUUUUA